GAAGGAAUUAAGAGCGCACAGCGGAUGCCUUGGCACC
rnacentral:rRNA from 1 species